rnacentral:rRNA from 1 species
GAGUUUACAACUCCCAAACCCCUGUGAACAUACCAAUUGUUGCCUCGGCGGAUCAGCCCGCUCCCGGUAAAACGGGACGGCCCGCCAGAGGACCCACAAACUCUGUUUCUAUAUGUAACUUCUGAGUAAAACCAUAAAUAAAUCAAAACUUUCAACAACGGAUCUCUUGGUUCUGGCAUCGAUGAAGAACGCAGCAAAAUGCGAUAAGUAAUGUGAAUUGCAGAAUUCAGUGAAUCAUCGAAUCUUUGAACGCACAUUGCGCCCGCCAGUAUUCUGGCGGGCAUGCCUGUUCGAGCGUCAUUUCAACCCUCAAGCCCAGCUUGGUGUUGGGACUCGCGAGUCAAAUCGCGUUCCCCAAAUUGAUUGGCGGUCACGUCGAGCUUCCAUAGCGUAGUAGUAAAACCCUCGUUACUGGUAAUCGUCGCGGCCACGCCGUUAAACCCCAACUUCUGAAUGUUGACCUCGGAUCAGGUAGGAAUACCCGCUGAACUUAAGCAUA